GCAGCCACAUACUGGGUACCCGCCGCCACGGCCGCCGCAGCCUCCACACCCACCACGCUAUCAAGGAUACCAGGGUUAUUUCAAUAGCGGGUAUCCACCGCCACCUCCGCCGCACUCUCAUGUCGUCGGACAUCACCAUCAUGAUGAUGAUGGCUGUUUUUCAGUCUUGAGAGGCUGCGUUGCAGCCCUGUGUUGCUGUUGUCUGCUAGAGGAGUGUUGUCGCUGCUGCUUUUGAUUAUGUGGCUGAAAACUGAAGUUGCCUCAUAAUCAACUUGGUUAUAGAACUUGGAUAUCUAUGGAAUAUAUGCAAUAAAAUCCUCAACGUUCAUAGACUCUAUAUCAUGUGUAUCAGUGUAUGUCCAUACGAAGUUAUCAAUUAUUUCACAAAGUAUUUGUGUAUAACUUCUGAGAGGCAUUAGCAUUAUCUACAACGAAUGCAAACAAUAUUAUGUGCACUGCAUUUGUGUAAGAUAAUUAUCCGUCACAGUUGUAAAAGAUGAUAUAUAUUAUGGAAAAUCACACCAUAGCUUUGAACUA